GACGAACGCUGGCGGCGUGCUUAACACAUGCAAGUCGAACGGACAGGCCCUGCUUUUGUGGGGUUCUCGAGUGGCGAACGGGUGAGUAACACGUGAGUAACCUGCCCUUGACUUUGGGAUAACUUCAGGAAACUGGGGCUAAUACCGGAUAGGAGCUCCUGCUGCAUGGUGGGGGUUGGAAAGUUUCGGCGGUUGUGGAUGGUUUCGCGGCUUAUCAGCUUGUUGGUGGGGUAGUGGCUUACCAAGGCUUUGACGGGUAGCCGGCCUGAGAGGGUGACCGGGGACAUUGGGCCUGAGAUACGGCGCAGUAGCCAACGGGAGGCAGCAGGGGAGAACAUUGCACAGUGGGGGGAAGCGUGAUGCAGAAACGCUGGGUGCGGGAUAACCUGUUAUGGGGGAAAAACAGAUGUGGCAUGUGACGAGCCGGUAGUGACGGUAAUGGGUAAAGAAGCACCGGCUAACUACGUG
rnacentral:rRNA from 1 species